AAAACGGCCCUUUUCAGGGCCACAAAAAUGUUUACCAAAGAAAGUA
rfam:Drosophila ficusphila unplaced genomic scaffold scf7180000452562, whole genome shotgun sequence